rnacentral:lncRNA from 1 species
GGCAUACCCCGAUGAAUAAGGACAAAUAGCCUCCGAACAUUCUCCGGCUAAAUGAAUACAUUUUUUAAUUUCCUGUAAUGAAAUGAAACAACUUCAAACACAAUAAUUCAAUCACUCAACAAUCAUCAAUUUCUAUAAUUUACCUGCCCCUAUCAUUUUCUUAUACAUUAUCGCCCUAAAAUAUGAUAUUAUCGAGCUCGAUAGAAUUAACAUUCAUUUCAAAUCCAACCACAAUUGAUGAAUCAAAGCACAAUAAUAUUCACUUUUAUCAAUUUUUAAGUUCCGCCCCUAAUUAAGAUUUGCCCUAAAACGAGUUUAAAUCAUUCAAUUACUCAAUUCAAAUGAAUCAAUCAACCAACAUCAACCAAUAUUUAUGAUCCAAAAAUUACAAAAUCACAUGAAACAAACUUCACACAAUUUGAAUUCUUCUCACAUAACAUCAAACAACAAAAUUAAAUGAGAAUGAGAUGAGAAAUGGACCUUAACAUCGCUUUCAAUUAAAAUUUCUUCUUCCGACUAAAACAGCGAUCGAAAUCUCAAACCAAACCUCAACGAACGAACAAGUCCAGCCUCUAUCUAACCAUUUUUUUCAAUUUUUCACCAAUUCAAACCAAAAUUGCAAAUAAACAAAAGACCCGAACCCGAAUUCAUAUCGAGACUAGUCUGUCUCAUCCGUUUUUGAUGGGUUUUUGGUGUGUUCCGAUGGACUGCUGUCGAAAAUAGAGCUGUGUCGGUCGAAGUUACUUCUUUUUGCAUCGCCGGAGCUCUGACGAGCCCAAGCAGUGGCAGAGAACAGAGAACGAGUCAAAUUUUCUGAUGGUUAUGGAGAUUUUGGUGAAACUUCACCGAAAAAUUAAAGACCAGCCUAUUUUCUCUUCUCCGAUUUGCAACUGUUUUCUAUUCUCCUUCUCUAUUUUUUUCUCUCUAUUUCCCUCUUCUUUCUCCUCUUAUUUUCUCUCUAUAAGUGUAUGUGUGCUCUGUGGAAGAUGAAUUCCCUUCUUUGGUAUUGUUGUACACCGUUGUGUAUAUGUGUGUAGAGUGUAUAUGUGAGUAGUGAGAAUCUGGUGAGAUGUGUGUAUGCCUAUAUUGUUGUGUGAGUGUGUGUAUCUAUACUGUGUUUGUUUUUCAGCCGGUGAGAAUGUGUUAAUGGCGUCUCCUCUCUGUUUUUUUUCAUGGAAAAUGGAGUCGGUGUGCGUGUAUUUCCAUAUGUGGGUGUGCUUAUAUGAGAGUGUGAUUAUGUUAGCCUCUGUGAAUUGUGUGAGGUGAAGCCGUUUAUAUGAGAGAGUGUGGGUCGUGUAUUGUGGGUGGGGUGGGUAUGUGGGUAGAAGGGGGUAU